UUCGCAAUGCCCGAAAGGGUGACAAUGCGACGCCGCGUGAGCGAUGAAGGCCUUCGGGUUGUAAAGCUCUGUCAGCUGGGAUGAAGAUCCGCGGGGUAACACUCCGCGUAUUUGACGGUACCAGCAGAGGAAGCCACGGCUAACUCCGUGCCAGCAGCCGCGGUAAUACGGAGGUGGCAAGCGUUGUUCGGAUUUACUGGGUGUAAAGGACAUGUAGGUGUCCUUCCAAGUCGGGUGUGAAAUCCUAUGGCUUAACCAUAGAACUGCGCUCGAUACUAGAAGGAUUGAGUACGUGAGAGGUAAGCGGAAUUCCAGAAGUAAGGGUGAAAUCUGUAAAUAUCUGGAGGAACACCAUUAGCGAAGGCGGCUUACUGGUACGAUACUGACACUGAAAUGUGAAAGCUAGGGGAGCAAACAGGAUUAGAUACCCUGGUAGUCCACGCCGUAAACGAUGGGCACUAAGUAGAGGGGUUUU
rnacentral:rRNA from 1 species